rnacentral:lncRNA from 1 species
CCCUUUUAAAUGGAACUAUGAGGCUGGCUUAGCGGACGAAGAUGCUUCCGAGGAGGUGUCUGAAGAACCUAUACUCCCUUUGCCUCUUAUAAUCAGUGCUAAGAAUAUUGGGAACGUUGCACGGUUCAUGAAUCACAGUUGCUCUCCUAAUGUUUUCUGGCAGCCGGUUAGUUAUGAGAAUAACGGUCAGCUCUACUUGCACGUCGCCUUCUUUGCUAUUUCACACAUCCCUCCCAUGACUGAGUUGACUUACGACUAUGGUGUUUCAAGACCAACGGGAGCUCAAAAUGGCAAUCCUGUGUAUGGUAAAAAGAGGUGCUUUUGCGGAACACAGUAUUGCCGUGGCUCAUUUGGUUGAUGCCAACGUGUAAAAGGUUUGUUUCUCUGAGCUUUUUGUUAUUUAUUGAAUCUAUAUUCAUUAUCUGAUUACAGGUAGUGGAAGUGACUGCUUUUGGUUUACAGGUAAAGUGUUUAAAGUCUUCUUCUCUUCAACGGCAUAAGACGCAAAGCUGUGAUGGAUUCUUUCCUGCUUCUUCUCCAUCAAAGUCUUUAUCUAUUUCUCUGAUCCUAGGAAAUGUAUCCUUCUCUCCUGUUGGAUAUGUGAUCUUAUUAGUAUUUUUUUUUCAGAUUGUUUUUAGGACAAAACCUAUGGGAAGUUGGGAAACUAGUAGCCUAUCUUUGUUUGAUUAAAAGAUUUGAUGAAUAUGAUAAUCAGUUUUAACAGUUUAUCUGUCUUAUGCAAUGACAACUAUAAACAGCUUCUUGUACAGACCACCACCACUACACACUAAAAACAGUACAACUAACAUGUUUACAAAUCGGUUAAUAUGAUUAGUAAGUUCAGCUUGGUGAUUCUAAAACUAAAGAAAGAAUCAUUUGGACCUCAAAGACUGAGAGCUACAGCCAUCUUUACACACGUGUGAAAAACCAAACCGGCAACCGACAAAAGCUCCAAAAAGGCGUUACAUCACGAAAAGAAGGAAUGCAAGUAAAACUACAAAGGACGAAACUGAAACCUCCUACGUAGGUAAUCCCAGUCAUAUUAGAUCAUCGUACGGCUCAAGAUCAAAUGAUUUAGAUCCAACGGUUAAAAUCUUAUCGGCUUCUUCUCCAACUGUUACAGAUGUAGAGUGAAAAAAUCACACAGAUGUUAAUUAAUAUUAGUAAUUUCUUACCAAAGCUGGAAACUUUAUGCUCUAAUCUUCUUCCCUCUCGCUCUUCCCCUGUCUCUCUCGUUUCGGAAACCCUAAAUCUGACGGAGCAUUUCGAUCUCCAAGUCCCCAAAUUUUCAGGUUUUUUUUUCCUAAAGUUAUAAGCUUUCUGUGUUAUUGUUAUUGUACAUCUUUGAAUCUGCGAUGAAUGAUGUGUUGAGGGUCCUCUGUUCUUUAGUCAGUAGGCUAGAUUAAUCUGCUAAAGACUGUUCAUUUUCUCCAUUUGCAUAGAAAAAAUCAGAUCUUUUUAUUAAUUUGGUAAAUUUUGAUUGUUCAGCUUACUAUGGAAGGAAACUUCGGAAGCUACACUGACAAGACUCGAGUGUUGGAUAUCAAACCGUUGCGCACUCUCAGACCUGUCUUCCCAAGUGGGAACCAAGCUCCUCCUUUUGUCUGCGCACCUCCUUUUGGUCCGUUCCCUCCUGGCUUCUCUCCUUUCUACCCCUUUAGCUCCUCUCAACACACUCCAGAUCUCAACCAAGCUCAGAAUCCACCUCAGCAUCAGCCUCAUAACAGCUCAGAGCCUUCGUUGGUUACUCCUCUGAGGACAUUCAGGUCUCCUCCUGAUACCACAACAUCCAAUGGCGACGUGGAGCCUUCAACUGUGAAGAGAAAGAUCACUAAAAAGCGUACUCCUCUCGUUUGCCCUGAGAAUUUCUCGAGUGGGAUCAGCGUGGCUGAUAGAGAGAAUGGGAACAGGAAGCUGGUGACGAGUGUGAUCAUGCGGUUUGACGCGUUGAGAAGAAGGUUUUCGCAGCUGGAAGAUGCUAAGGAAGCGGUUAGUGGGUCUAUCAAACGUGGUGAUUUGAAAGCAGGAUCCACUUGUAUGAGCAGAGGUGUCAGGACCAACACUAAAAAAAGACCUGGUGUUGUUCCUGGUGUUGAGAUUGGUGACGUGUUCUUCUUCAGGUUCGAGAUGUGUUUGGUUGGGUUGCAUUCUCCGUCGAUGGCUGGGAUUGACUAUCUACUCGUCAAGGGAGGGGGAGAAACAGGAGAAGAGCCUAUCGCCACUAGCAUUGUCUCAUCUGGUUACUAUGAUAAUGAUGAAGGUAAUCCUGAUGUUUUGGUUUAUACCGGUCAGGGCGGUGGGAACGCUGAUAAAGAGAAGCAAACGUCUGACCAGAAGCUUGAGAGAGGUAACCUUGCGUUGGAGAAGAGUUUGCUUAGGAACAGUCCGGUGAGGGUGAUAAGAGGGUUGAAAGAGGCUUCUCAGAGUGCUAAGAUCUAUGUUUACGAUGGGCUUUAUGAGAUCAAAGAGUCUUGGGUGGAGAAAGGGAAGUUAGGACACAACACUUUCAAGUAUAAGCUAGUGAGAGCUCCUGGUCAGCCUCCUGCGUUUGCUUCGUGGAUUGCUAUACAGAAGUGGAAGGCAGGUUUGCCUUCGAGGGAAGGGCUUAUCCUCCCUGAUCUCACUUCAGGUGUUGAGAGCAUAGGCGUUUCGCUUGUGAAUGACGUUGAUGCUGAGAAUGGUCCUCCUUAUUUCACCUACUCCACGACUGUAAACUACUCAGAGUCGUUUAAGCUGAGCCAGCCUUCUAGUGGAUGCCAUUGUAGCAACGCCUGCAAGCCAGGGAACUUGGACUGUCACUGCAUAAGGAAAAACGGAGGUGACUUCCCUUACUGCGGUAAUGGAGUGCUAGUUAGCCGCAAGUCUAUGGUAUAUGAGUGCAGCCCUUCAUGUCCCUGCUCGGCUUGCAAAAACAAGGUGACUCAAAUGGGAGUUAAAGUGAAGCUUGAAGUUUUCAAGACGGUGAAUAGAGGAUGGGGCUUGCGGUCGUGGGAUCCCAUUCGUGCUGGCUCGUUUAUAUGCAUAUAUGCAGGUGAGGCCAAAGACAAGUCCAAGGUGCAGCAGACGAUGGCUGAUGAUGAUUAUACCUUUGAUACGACCCGUGUCUAUACCCCUUUCAAGUGGAACUAUGAGCUCGGCUUAGCAGACGAAGAUGCUUCUGAGGAGAUGUCUGAAGAACCUGAACUCCCACUGCCUCUUGUGAUCAGUGCUAAGAAUGCUGGGAACGUUGCUAGAUUCAUGAACCACAGUUGCUCACCUAAUGUUUUCUGGCAGCCGGUUAGUUAUGAACACAACGGUCAGCUCUACUUGCAAGUCGCCUUCUUUGCCAUGUCACACAUCCCUCCCAUGACUGAGUUAACUUAUGACUAUGGUGUUACUCGACCAAGCGGAGCUCAAAAUGGC